rnacentral:rRNA from 1 species
UACGUAGGGGGCUAGCGUUGUCCGGAAUCAUUGGGCGUAAAGCGCGUGUAGGCGGUCCGGUAAGUCCGCUGUGAAAGUCGGGGGCUCAACCCUCGGAUGCCGGUGGAUACUGUCGGGCUUGAGUACGGAAGAGGCGAGUGGAAUUCCUGGUGUAGCGGUGGAAUGCGCAGAUAUCAGGAGGAACACCAAUAGCGAAGGCAGCUCCGCUGGGACGGU